rnacentral:lncRNA from 1 species
AUUGUUGUAGGUAAACAAUUUAAUAAUAUGUGGGAUUUUUCCCCCCAUUUUUUAGGGGUCUAGCUAUAUUGCUAAGGCUGGAUUUGAACUCCUGGGCUCAAGUGAUCCUCCCACCUCAUCCUCCCAAGUAGCUGGAGCUACAGACAUGCACCACCAUGCCCAGCAACCUCACUUUCUAUUUGGAAAACCAAGACAAAAAGAGAAAUAUGAUGGACUGUUUUUAGGGCAUUUAAAAUGCUAAAGAAUGAACAAAACUGCAGUGUCACAGAACUUCCAUGAAGACAAUAGAAGGAUGAAUAGUAAAGUGUGCUAAUCCCACCUAAAGUUAGUAGGGCCCAAAACCAAGAGAAG